GGCCUCCUACUAAAGUGGCCACUCCAGUGGCCUGCCUGGCCCCUCCAGAUAUGUCUUUGGCUUUGACCCUGCAGAUCCAGAUUUGGAAGCCAGGAUAGAAAGAAUGGCUCUGUCUCUCACACAAGUCUAAGGAGCAAGAAAAGCACAUUGCCCUCUUCGAUUAAUGAAAUACAAGUACGAAAUACAAAUGUCUCUCUAGCAAAAUAUGUGUGUGUGUACUUCUGAGAGCAAAAUGACAAACAUGUAACAGUAAAUGUUUUUCUAUGGUGUA